GUGAGACCUGACUAAGCAUAAACCACAUCAGUGCUGAAGAGGCUCCAGUUUCCAGCAGCAGAGACGGAGGCACCAUGGUUGGACACACAUGGAUCCACAGCUUGUUAAUAGUGACAGGGCUUCAGUUCACAGGAGCUUCUUUGAUCAGACGUGGAGACGACGUCUCUUUCCCUUGUAACUAUCUGAUCCCUGAUCAGAGUCAGUGUAGCGCCACCGUCUGGAUCUACACUGGCUCAGGACCAGCAGCAGUGGAGCUGGUUACACAUGGGAAGGUUAAAGAAAAUGCUGCAUCUAAAUCCAACAGACUGAGUUUAACAGAGAACUGUUCUCUGGUCAUAAAGCAGGUCACAGAUCAGUAUGCUGGUCGUUACACCUGCAGACAGUAUAAAAAAUCAGGAGAACAACAACAAAGUGAAGAUGCUGAAGUUGACUUGUCUGUUGUUACCUUGACUCAUCAUGAACACGAUGAUAAGGUGAUGUUAAACUGCUCUGUGUGGAUGAAAAGUCAGUGCAGACACACAGUAAAAUGGCUGUUUGAGGAUAAAGACCUGGAAAAGACUUCAAUAAAGUCAUCAGAGUCUCUCUGUGACGCUGCUGUUACUUUUAGUAGAAGUUCCUUCUAUUCAUCGCGGUCCAUUACUUCAUUCACGUGUGAAGUGAGAGAUGAUCACAAUCAUCAAAGCUCCACCUUCAACCUUCAGCCUCAGAAUGCAGCAACAGCAGCGACUGAAUCCUCCGUUCUAAGCAGCACAGCAGCAGGUGACGACAAACCACCAGCAACAGGCGCUGAAUCAUGGUUUCAUGCUCUCCCUCUCUCUCUCCCUCUUGCUCGCCCUCUGCUCCUGCCUCUCUCAGACACAUCUGUCCCAGUGGUGCUUCCCUCCAGCUGUGCUGUCUGUGGCUCUGACUCAGCUUUAACCUGCUCUUGGCUCCAGCCUGCACCAGUGAAACCAGCCGAGCUCAGCUGUUUGUGUUGGUCUCAGGUGGAGGUCUGUGGAGGAACGUCGUGGUCUCGGUGGCUGUAACGUCUCUGGUGGUGGUGGUGGUCACAGUCCACGUGUGGACCAGAGCUGAAGGGAACAAAGGGACGGAUCAAGCAGUUCACGGUGAUGAAGACGAUGGUGAAGGUGCAGCGACGUAUGAAAACGCCAGAGACUCGUCUGCUUCAGUCUGAGCAACGACGGCAUCAACUCACCACGCGCAUUCAUCCUGCUGCUGCGUCUGAGUCUCUGUUCUGUUGUUAAACCAUAAAUAAAGCAUCAGACUUUAUUAGGAGUGGCUUCAUUUCUACGUCGUCAGAACACGGCACAGUGAGCAGAUGUUGGUCACAGCUGGACUCUGCUGAGUUUCUCCGUGUGAACAGCUGCUGCUGCUUCUUUGCAGGUCGCUCCGUUGGAGACAUGUGUUCCCUCUGUUCUCCAGCAGGAGGCGAUCACGUCACCACGUGAACGAGCAGCAGAGACCAGACGCUGAUCUCAGACCAGCUCAGGUUGAUCGGAGGUGAAGGCAGCAGGCCUCACGUCUCUGUCUCAGAGUAACAGUCGCUGUGAGGAAGUAACACUGAUGCUUCAGGCUGAUAGAGACGCUCAGCGACGUGUUUCUGACUAAGGCUCAAACCCACUUCAGAGCCAGAACGAGCAGAAACAGCUGUUCCUAUCAAACGCGUGUGUGGGUCCGAUCACAAUGUGACGUGACUCAGUUUGGUUUGAGUCUUUACUGAAGCCUGUUCCAUCACAUCAGCUCAGACUGAACCUCACAUCCACCUCUGACCACAUGUGAUGGAGGAGUCCGAAAACCGACAGGAUGUGUCUUCAUCUGAGAGAUGGAGGCGACCAUGAGGAAGUGAGACCUGACUAAGCAUAAACCACAUCAGUGCUGAAGAGGCUCCAGUUUCCAGCAGCAGAGACGGAGGCACCAUGGUUGGACACACAUGGAUCCACAGCUUGUUAAUAGUGACAGGGCUUCAGUUCACAGGAGCUUCUUUGAUCAGACGUGGAGACGACGUCUCUUUCCCUUGUAACUAUCUGAUCCCUGAUCAGAGUCAGUGUAGCGCCACCGUCUGGAUCUACACUGGCUCAGGACCAGCAGCAGUGGAGCUGGUUACACAUGGGAAGGUUAAAGAAAAUGCUGCAUCUAAAUCCAACAGACUGAGUUUAACAGAGAACUGUUCUCUGGUCAUAAAGCAGGUCACAGAUCAGUAUGCUGGUCGUUACACCUGCAGACAGUAUAAAAAAUCAGGAGAACAACAACAAAGUGAAGAUGCUGAAGUUGACUUGUCUGUUGUUACCUUGACUCAUCAUGAACACGAUGAUAAGGUGAUGUUAAACUGCUCUGUGUGGAUGAAAAGUCAGUGCAGACACACAGUAAAAUGGCUGUUUGAGGAUAAAGACCUGGAAAAGACUUCAAUAAAGUCAUCAGAGUCUCUCUGUGACGCUGCUGUUACUUUUAAUAGAAGUUCCUUCUAUUUAUCGCAGUCCAUUACUUCAUUCACGUGUGAAGUGAGAGAUGGUCACAAUCAUCAAAGCUCCACCUUCAACCUUCAGCCUCAAGAUGCAGCAACAGCAGCGACUGAAUCCUUCGUUCUAAGCAGCAUAGCAGCAGACACAUCUGUCCCAGUGGUGCUUCCCUCCAGCUGUGCUGUCUGUGGCUCUGACUCAGCUUUAACCUGCUCUUGGCUCCAGCCUGCACCAGUGAAACCAGCUGAGCUCAGCUGUUUGUGUUGGUCUCAGGUGGAGGUCUGUGGAGGAACGUCGUGGUCUCGGUGGCUGUAACGUCUCUGGUGGUGGUGGUGGUGGUCACAGUCCACGUGUGGACCAGAGCUGAAGGGAACAAAGGGACGGAUCAAGCAGUGAGUAUGAAGCUGCUCUUUGUUCAGAUGAGCUGCUGCCCGUGGGGUUGUGGGUCCGAGUCCCUGCAGCGCUGAGCAAGGCAGCGAGCCCCAGCUGGUCCUCUGCAGCUGCUCCGUGUCCGUCACGGGUCUUUUUGAGCUCAGUGUCGAUGCUUCCACAGGUUCACGAUGAUGAAGACGAUGGUGAAGGUGAAGCGACGUAUGAAACCGUCGGAGACUCGUCUGCUUCAGUCUGAGCAACGACGGCAUCAACUCACCGCACGCAUUCAUUUAUUACAAGUGGUUUCAUUUCUACGUUGUCAAAACUCAUCUGACUUUUUGCAUUAAAAUCCUUAUGAAUUUGGCCUGCUUGACUUUAUCAAAACCAUUUUUUUGCUGAGUUAAUUUUCACCAAUUGAAGGUUACACUUACACUAUUUUUUCAACUUUUUGAGCCGGGCUGGGGGGACCCUUUAAGAAGCGGCUCCAUUGUUUAGCUGUUGGCUCUAAUCCAUGCCGAGUUUUUCCACAUCGAAAUAACGAUGGUGCAGAGCUGGAGGCCAUACGUCCCAUAUGGGGACACGGGACAUGGGAAACUUCCGAUCUCUCUCUUUCGCUACAGGAAGAAGUUGGAGCAUCUCCGGGAGAAAAACAACGUCUGUGAUGUGGGGAGAGGACUGAAACACAUUUCAGGACACUGAAGGCAGGCUGGAAAUGGUCGCCAGGUCACAGGUGACUAAACCUGGGCUCCCUCUUCACACCUCUCCAGACCAGGAGUCUCCUCCCAGCUGCCGCUGU